ACGUAGGAGGCAAACGUUAUCCGGAUUUACUGGGCGUAAAGCGCGUGUAGGUGGUUUGGUAAGUAGAGCGUGAAAGCUCCUGGCUCAACUGGGAGAGGUCGUUCUAAACUGCCGGACUAGAGGAUGGUAGAGGGAGGUGGAAUUCCGGGUGUAGCGGUGGAAUGCGCAGAUAUCCGGAGGAACACCAGUGGCGAAAGCGGCCUCCUGGACCACUCCUGACACUCAGACGCGAAAGCUAGGGUAGCAAACGG
rnacentral:rRNA from 1 species